rnacentral:rRNA from 3 species
UCUCCUGGAAACGGGUGGUAAUGCCGGAUGCUCCAGUUGAUCGCAUGGUCUUCUGGGAAAGCUUUCGCGGUAUGGGAUGGGGUCGCGUCCUAUCAGCUUGACGGCGGGGUAACGGCCCACCGUGGCUUCGACGGGUAGCCGGCCUGAGAGGGCGACCGGCCACAUUGGGACUGAGAUACGGCCCAGACUCCUACGGGAGGCAGCAGUGGGGAAUAUUGCACAAUGGGCGCAAGCCUGAUGCAGCGACGCCGCGUGAGGGAUGGAGGCCUUCGGGUUGUAAACCUCUUUUAUCGGGGAGCAAGCGAGAGUGAGUUUACCCGUUGAAUAAGCACCGGCUAACUACGUGCCAGCAGCCGCGGUAAUACGUAGGGUGCAAGCGUUAUCCGGAAUUAUUGGGCGUAAAGGGCUCGUAGGCGGUUCGUCGCGUCCGGUGUGAAAGUCCAUCGCUUAACGGUGGAUCCGCGCCGGGUACGGGCGGGCUUGAGUGCGGUAGGGGAGACUGGAAUUCCCGGUGUAACGGUGGAAUGUGUAGAUAUCGGGAAGAAC